CGUUUCACUUGGAAAGGUUGAUACAUUGAUGAGCUACGAAAAGCAAGAGGGAACAUGCCCAUCUACUAAGAGGAGAAGAGAGCCUAAAACAUACACAUUCACUAAGGAAGAGAAAGCCAAAUGUGAGAAGCAAUAACACAUGGUUUGCCAAAGAAUCUGCAUUGAAUAAUACUGGUGGUGACCACAAGAACAUGCCUCUCUGACUGCAAGGAACAAGAGUGACCCAGGGUUUCAGCUGCUGCCUUGGAAAUUCAUCACAGUGCAAGUCUAUGCUUCCCACGGGCUGCUCCCAGCCUGUGAAUAAGCCUGGCAUCUUUGUUGAGGCAGGCCUAUUUCUGGAGAUGCAGGAUCCUCCGAUGGGCGAAUUUGGCUCUAGGACUGCUUGAUGGCCUUGACAGACUUUCCUUAGAAAUGCAUGGCAAUUUAGGGUUCCUCCACCCUUCCCUCUUUCUCUCCUUCACCUAGGGUCGGACUUGCAUCAUGGCCUGAAAGCUCCACCAGCCUCUCCUGCCCUCCUCCUCAUUUUCUUUCACAGGCAUAUCCUCUAAUAAAUUUCUUGCACAUUGAAUCUCAUCUUGGC
rnacentral:lncRNA from 1 species